rnacentral:rRNA from 1 species
GACGAACGCUGGCGGCGUGCCUAAUACAUGCAAGUCGAACGCAGUGGGGACGGGUGAGUAACACGUGGGUAACCUCCCAUCAGAGGGGAUAACACUUGGAAACAGGUGCUAAACCGAUACUGAUGGAUGGACCCGCGGUGCAUUAGCUAGUUGGUGAGGUAACGGCUCACCAAGGCCACGAUGCAUAAACGACCUGAGAGGGUAAUCGGCCACACUGAGAGUUAGACACGGACCAGAAUCCUACGUGAGGCAGCAGUAGGGAAUCUUCGGCAAUGGACGAAAGUCUUACCGAGCAACGCCGAGGGAGUGAAGAAGGUUUUCGGAUCGUAAAACUCUGUUGUUAGAGAAGAGGUAUCUAACCAGAAAGCCACUGCUAACUACGUGCCAGCAGCCGCGGUAAUAC